rnacentral:rRNA from 1 species
CCUACGGGGUGCAGCAGUGAGGAAUAUUGGUCAAUGGGCUUACGCCUGAACCAGCCAAGUCGCGUGAGGGAAGACUGCCCUAUGGGUUGUAAACUUCUUUUAUUCGGGACGAAACAAAUGACGGUACCGAAUGAAUAAGCCACGGCUAACUACGUGCCAGCAGCCGCGGUAAUACGUAGGUGGCAAGCGUUAUCCGGAUUUACUGGGUGUAAAGGGCGUGUAGGCGGGAGAGCAAGUCAGACGUGAAAUUCCAGGGCUCAACCCUGGAACUGCGUUUGAAACUGUUCUUCUUGAGUGAUGGAGAGGCAGGCGGAAUUCCGUGUGUAGCGGUGAAAUGCGUAGAUAUACGGAGGAACACCAGUGGCGAAGGCGGCCUGCUGGACAUUAACUGACGCUGAGGCGCGAAAGCGUGGGGAGCAAACAGGAUUAGAUACCCGAGUAGUC